rnacentral:Y_RNA from 1 species
GGCUGGUCCGAGUGCAGUGGUGUUUGCAACUAACUGAUCACAACCAGUUACAGAUUCCUUUGUUUCUUCUCCACUCCCACUGCUUCACUUGACCAGCCUUCA